rnacentral:sRNA from 1 species
UUCUAGCCCAGAUAGCAGCAGCAUCCUUUUACAGGUUUUUUUUACCUGGAAAAGAUAAAGCGGAUAGCUGGAAUUAGC